AGAGUUUGAUCCUGGCUCAGGAUGAACGCUGGCGGCGUGCCUAACACAUGCAAGUCGAGCGAGGUGCUUGUAUCCUAGCGGCGGACGGGUGAGUAACGCGUGGGUAACCUGCCCUAUACACAUGGAUAACAUACCGAAAGGUAUGCUAAUACAAGAUGAAACAUUGAUAAGGCAUCUUAUUAAUGUCAAAGCCUUGGCGGUAUAGGAUGGGCCCGCGUCCCAUUAGUUAGUUGGUGAGGUAACGGCUCACCAAGGCCACGAUGGGUAGCCGACCUGAGAGGGUGAUCGGCCACACUGGAACUGAGACACGGUCCAGACUCCUACGGGAGGCAGCAGUGGGGAAUAUUGCACAAUGGGCGAAAGCCUGAUGCAGCAACGCCGCGUGAGCGAUGAAGGCCUUCGGGUCGUAAAGCUCUGUCCUCAAGGAAGAUUUUGACGGUACUUGAGGAGGAAGCCCCGGCUAACUACGUGCCAGCAGCCGCGGUAAUACGUAGGGGGCUAGCGUUAUCCGGAAUUACUGGGCGUAAAGGGUGCGUAGGUGGUUUUAUAAGUCAGAGGUGAAAGGCUACGGCUCAACCGUAGUAAGCCUUUGAAACUAUAAAACUUGAGUGCAGGAGAGGAAAGUAGAAUUCCCAGUGUAGCGGUGAAAUGCGUAGAUAUUGGGAGGAAUACCAGUUGCGAAGGCGGCUUUCUGGACUGUAACUGACACUGAGGCACGAAAGCGUGGGGAGCAAACAGGAUUAGAUACCCUGGUAGUCCACGCUGUAAACGAUGAGUACUAGGUGUCGGGGGUUACCCCCUCGGUGCCGCAGCUAACGCAUUAAGUACUCCGCCUGGGAAGUACGCUCGCAAGAGUGAA
rnacentral:rRNA from 1 species